rnacentral:rRNA from 1 species
AGAGUUUGAUCAUGGCUCAGGAUGAACGCUGGCGGCGUGCCUAAUACAUGCAAGUCGAGCGAACAGAUAAGGAGCUUGCUCCUUUGACGUUAGCGGCGGACGGGUGAGUAACACGUGGAUAACCUACCUAUAAGACUGGGAUAACUUCGGGAAACCGGAGCUAAUACCGGAUAAGAUUUUGAACCGCAUGGUUCAAUAGUGAAAGACGGCCUUGCUGUCACUUAUAGAUGGAUCCGCGCCGUAUUAGCUAGUUGGUAGGUAACGGCUUACCAAGGCAACGAUACGUAGCCGACCUGAGAGGGUGAUCGGCCACACUGGAACUGAGACACGGUCCAGACUCCUACGGGAGGCAGCAGUAGGGAAUCUUCCGCAAUGGGCGAAAGCCUGACGGAGCAACGCCGCGUGAGUGAUGAAGGUCUUCGGAUCGUAAAACUCUGUUAUCAGGGAAGAACAAACGUGUAAGUAACUGUGCACGUCUUGACGGUACCUGAUCAGAAAGCCACGGCUAACUACGUGCCAGCAGCCGCGGUAAUACGUAGGUGGCAAGCGUUAUCCGGAAUUAUUGGGCGUAAAGCGCGCGUAGGCGGUUUUUUAAGUCUGAUGUGAAA